CACCGGGCUGGCGGGCGUCCAGGCGGGACAUGGCGGGUUGUGCAGCCCGGCGGGCCCUGGCUGUGGGCAGUCGCUGCUGGUCCCGGUCGUUGACCGGAGCCCGCGGGCCGAGGCCGUUCUGUGCGGCGCGGGGAGCAGGGGCCUUCCCUCCAGCGGCGACCACGACGGCGCGGAGGCAUCUCUCAUCCCGAAACCGACCAGAGGGCAAAGUGCUGGAAACGGCCGGUGUGUUUGAGGUGCCGAAACAGAAUGGAAAAUAUGAAACUGGUCAGCUUUUCCUUCACAGUGUUUUUGGCUACCGAGGCGUCGUCCUGUUUCCCUGGCAGGCCCGACUCUAUGACCGCGAUGUGGCUUCUGCAGCUCCAGAAAAGCAGAGAACCCUGCUGGCCACGGCUCUAAGGAGGUGAAAGGCACCCGGACUUACUACCAGGUGCUGAUUGACGCCCGUGACUGUCCACAUGUACCCCAGAGAUCUCAGACAGAAGCUGUGACCUUCUUGGCCAACCAUGAUGACAGCCGAGCUCUCUCUGCCAUCCCUGGCCUGGACUAUGUCAGUCAUGAGUACCUCCUCCCUACAUCUCCACCAACCAUGUUCCCAUCCAACACGAGCUCUUUGAAAGGUUUCUCCUGUAUGACCACACUAAAGCGCCCCCCUUUGUGGCUCGGGAGACACUGCGGGCCAGGCAAGAGAAGAAUUACCCCUGGCUGGAGCUUUCUGGCGUCAACCAGGAAACAACGGAGAAUAUCCGUGUCACGGUCAUCCCCUUCUGCAUGGGCGUGAGGGAAGCUCAGAAUUGCCACGUUUACUGGUGACGCUAUUGCAUCCGCCUGGAAAACUUCGACAGUGAUGUGGUGCAGCUCCGGGAGCGGCACUGGAGGAUAUUAAGCCUCUCUAGCACCCUGGAAACAGUGAGAGGCCGAGGCGAGGUGGGCAGGGAAACAGUGCUAUCCAAGGAGCAGCCGGCAUUCCAGCAUAGCAGCCACGUCUCCCUGCAAGCUUCCAGUGGGCACAUGUGGGGCACGUUCCGCUUUGGGAGACCUGAGGGUUCCCACUUUGAUGUCCGGAUCCCACCCUUCUCCCUGGGAAGCAAUAAAGAUGAGAAGACACCACCCUCAGGCCUUCACUGGUAGGCCAGCUGAGGCCGAGAGCUUGGCCCAGCUCACCAGAGGAACAUAUCACAUCCCGCACUUGCUGCAGACUCUUCUCUC